CCUACGGGUGGCAGCAGUGGGGAAUAUUGCGCAAUGGGCGAAAGCCUGACGCAGCGACGCCGCGUGAGGGAUGAAGGUCUUCGGAUCGUAAACCUCUGUCAGCAGGGAAGAACGGUCACUGUGCUAAGCAGGAGGGAAUGGACGGGACAGGCAAAGUAAGCACCGGCCUACUACGUGCCCCCCGCCGCGGUAAUACGGAGGGUGCGAGCGUUAAUCGGAAUGACUGGGCGUAAAGCGCUCGUAGGCGGUAUUUCAAGUCAAGGGUGAAAGUCCCGCGCUCAACGUGGGAACUGCCUUUGAAACUGGCAACCUGGAGUGUGUGAGAGGUUAGUGGAAUUCCCGGUGUAGGAGUGAAAUCCGUAGAUAUCUGGAGGAACAUCAGUUGCGAAGGCGACUCUCUGGCUCAUAACUGACGCUGCGGCGCGAAAGCGUGGGUAGCGAACAGGAUUAGAUACCCUAGUAGUC
rnacentral:rRNA from 1 species